AGAGCUAUGAAGAAAUGAGACAGAACCUCCACUGCCAGGGAAUUUUCAGUGUAGUUGGGAAGAUAAGAUAUGAACACAUGAAAAGUGAGACAGUCAUAAAGCAUGAGAUUUUAAGAGAGACGGUGACUGGAAAAGUGUCUUCAAAGAGCAUGCCUGUCAUGUGGAGGAAGCUUGAGGGGAGGUGCUGGCAAAGCCAGUGUCUGGUGAGAGCCAGCUUCCUGGAUCAGAGCCAUUGUCUCCUCACUGUGGUCCGAGGGAGCUCUCUGGGGUCCUUUUUACAAAGGCCGCUGUGAGCAUCCUUUGGUAACCACAGGGGAUUGGUUUCAGGAGCCUCCUUUAACCUGAAAAUCUGCAGAUGCUCAAGUCCCUUACAUAAAAAUAACAUGGGAGAAUAAGCCCUCUGGCUCCUUAUUCCUGAGAGCUCCAUCCGCCUUCUGACCUAAUCAUCUCUCAAAGGCCCCAUCCCCAAAUAUCCUGUGGGGGAUUAGGUUUCAAUAUCCAGGUGGUGCUAGUGGUAAAGAACCUGGCUGCCAAUUCAAGAGACCUGAAACUCAAAUUCAGUCCCUGGGUCAGGAAGAUCCCCUGGAGGUGGGCCUAGCGACUCACUCCAGUGUUCUUGCCUGGAGAAUGUCAAGGACAGAGGAGCCUGCAGGGCGACAGUGAGCGGGAUCACACAGAGUUGAUAGCGACUGAAGUGACUAAGCAUGCUCAGGUACGAAUGGUGAAGGGACAGAGACAGUUAGAAAAGCAUUCUUAUUCAAAUUCAUCUUGGUUCUCUCUUUUCCAGGACCCUGGCGGGAAGCACUGCCUCCCAGUCUGUAAGUCAAAUUACAAUUUAGAAGACAAUGAACUUGGUAGGCCACAUAAAAUGGAGCCAACUUUUGGGAAAACAGCAAUUGCUACUUCAAAUGAUGCUACACCAGGGAUUCAACCCAUCCUACCUGAAGAAGGCGACCAUCAACACCCAUGGGCAAGGCUGUUGCCUCCUCCUACUCCCUGCUCUCCACCUCCGCAAUCCUGAGACUCCUACACCUAACAGAGAGCAAGGAGAUCUGGACCUGCACACUCAGCCUGAAGCAGUUACACAAGAUGAACUGUUGGCCCUCUGCCUCUGAAAGGAUUGAAAGGGUCCAGACUCCUCGAGGGGUUGGAAUGUUACAGCAUGCAGGUAGCUGGAUAUGAGCAGAGAAAGUGGGGUGGGGACCAGAAGGCAGGAAAGCAUGCAACUUGUAAACAUGAGGGGGCCGUCCGUGGGCAGAUAAAGAGAAGCAGGAGCCUCCAGGCUGACGGGAAACCACACAUCUUAGGGCGAUAGGUAUCCUGGAGUCAGACAAAGAAAGGCGGGGAAAGGCAGGAAUCGCAGAGAAGGAAUGUGACCUUUUACUCCUUUGUACUCUCAUUAUAGUAAAAUUAGCCUUGCAGAUAAGAAGUACGCNNNNUGUGCUGAUGCCAUGAUGCUUUUGAUCAAAGCUAUAAAAGGACAAAAAUCCCUGCUUCUCUUGGGAAGAUGGAGCUGGGAUGAAAAUCAGGAAAUACAACCCCCAAACCCCUCCCUCCCCAAUGAA
ensembl:lncRNA